GCCUGUUUGUGGGCUCCACUCUAUGCUCUUCUGUUUCUCCAUGGCCAAACACUUGUUCUCUAAACAUUUGCUCCUUUUCACCUAUCUGUGAGAAUUGCCUU